rnacentral:rRNA from 1 species
UACGAAGGGAGCUAGCGUUGUUCGGAAUCACUGGGUUUAAAGGGUGCGUAGGUGGGCUAGUAAGUCCGUGGUGAAAUCCCCGAGCUUAACUCGGGAACUGCCGUGGAUACUAUUAGUCUUGAAUAUCGUGGAGGUAAGCGGAAUAUGUCAUGUAGCGGUGAAAUGCUUAGAUAUGACAUAGAACACCGAUAGCGGAGGCAGCUUACUACGCGAUUAUUGACACUGAGGCACGAAAGCGUGGGGAUCAAACAGG